GAUCCUGGCUCAGGACGAACGCUGGCGGCGUGCUUAACAUAUGCAAGUCGAACGAAGAGAGGUGCUUCGGUAUUUCUCUUAGUGGCGGACUGGUGAGUAACACGUGAGUAACCUGCCUCAUACAGGGGGAUAACUGGAAGAAAUUUCAGCUAAUACCGCAUAAUACAAGAAAUCGCAUGGUUGAAGAGUUAAAGGAGAAAUCCGGUAUGAGAUGGACUCGCGCAUCAUUAGCUAGUUGG
rnacentral:rRNA from 1 species